UACAGAGGGGGCAAGCGUUGUUCGGAAUUACUGGGCGUAAAGGGCGCGUAGGCGGCCUUCUAAGUCGAACGUGAAAUCCCCGGGCUCAACCCGGGAACUGCGUCCGAUACUGGAAGGCUUGAAUCCGGGAGAGGGAUGCGGAAUUCCAGGCGUAGCGGUGAAAUGCGUAGAUAUCUGGAGGAACACCGGUGGCGAAGGCGACGUCCUGGACCGGUAUUGACGCUGAGGCGCGAAAGCCAGGGGAGCAAACGGG
rnacentral:rRNA from 1 species